GGUUGAUCCUGCCAGUGGUUGUACAUUCGGGAGUGAGAUUAAGCCAUGCAUGUGUAAGUUGACUGUUGUAGACUGCGGAUAGCUCAAUAUAAUGACUAGAAUCUUUGUAACAAACAUUUAUGGAAUAUAGGCGGAAACUCUGCCGGUAAUCCUCGAAUAAUCAACCGAAGGCAAAGUAUUUGUAUGAAUGGAAUGAAAGUUUGAAACUUGUUGCGCUACAAGUCAUCCUAUCAGUUGAGCACAUUAGGGUAGUGUCUUAAUGUGGCUAUUACGGGUGACGGGGAAUGAGGGUU
rnacentral:rRNA from 1 species